rnacentral:misc_RNA from 1 species
AUCACAGUUGUUACAUCCUCACAGGCAAGUGGCAUGUUUAUUUUAAUGGAAAAUGAAACCAUGGUGUAUGUGAUCUGAUGAGAUCAAGUUCUCUAGCAGUUGCAUCGUGGUCAUGUUUAGAACAUCUUGUUUGUUUUGAUUUUAUUUUGAAAAGCACAAACAAUUUUCAUUGCAAUACUUACGAUAAAUAUAUUAAUUUACAGAAAUGUGACAUGGUCAUCCUCCAACUAGGUGUUUUAGCUUUUGUAUUUUUACUAGAAUUUAAUGCUCUUCCCUCAUGCAAGUGGCAUGUUUAUUUUAAUGGAAAAUGAAACCAUGGUGUAUGUGAUCUGAUGAGAUCAAGUUCUCUAGCAGUUGCAUCGUGGUCAUGUUUAGAACAUCUUGUUUGUUUUGAUUUUAUUUUGAAAAGCACAAACAAUUUUCAUUGCAAUACUUACGAUAAAUAUAUUAAUUUACAGAAAUGUGACAUGGUCAUCCUCCAACUAGGUGUUUUAGCUUUUGUAUUUUUACUAGAAUUUAAUGCUCUUCCCUC